AAGAGUCCUUGUUGACAUGGCACUGCUAACCUAACCGCACAGACCCUCUUCCCUUCUUCUUCCUCGACGAAACAUCAAUUUGAUUUUCUAGCUUUAAUAUUUAGCCCUCGAUCCAUCUCCACUUCCAGAUUUCAUUCCGCGAUUGUUUGAAUUUUUCUGUUCAUCCGAUGUACGAUGAACGGAGGUCCUGGUUUCAAUAAUUAAUGCUCCGGUCACGAGAGCAUUCGUCAUCACGAGCGCCCUCUUCACUGUCUUCUUGGGGAUCCGUGGUGGAGGAGGUUCUUCCAAGCUCGCCUUGUUUAUUACAAACUUCUAAUAAACUGUUGAAUGAGGACAAGCUAAUAAAUUAAACUAUUGAGAGAAGAGAAGAGAAAGGUAAUUCGAAGAAGAAGGAAGGAAGGAUGGGUGGAGGAAUGGAGACGAACAAGAACAAGUUCAUCGAGGACUGGGGAUCCGCUAGGGAGAAUCUGGAGCAUAACUUCCGAUGGACACGUCGCAACUUCGCUCUCAUCAGAAUCUUUGGCAUCGCCCUCCCCAUCCUCGUCUACAAAGGCCAUCGUCAAAGAUUUUGUAACUCUCAAUCUCUCACUCGAUUCCAUAUCCCAUUUCAAUAUUACUCUUGUUGUAAUUACAUUUGAAUCAAAUCUGUUCUUUUGUUUGGUUAACACAUUACAUAUGAAUAUUAAUGCAUGUAUUCAGAGGACAAAUAAAACAUUUGGAUAAACAUUAUUUUCAUGAAACGUCAAGAUGUCUAACAAUAGUAUGUGGAGAUCACACUGUUCCACUGUGGAGUGCACGUUAGGCUUAUAUUUCGCAUGAACAGUUUUUGUUAUUUAUAUGAAAUGUAUUUGACUAAGCAAAACUAAGUAUAUUUAGUAGUAGUCAUCAAUUUAAUUACAUAGAACUAUUCCACAUUUUGUUUUACAAACAUAACAUAAAACAAGUCACAUGAAGAGGCGGC